CAGGGAAUCUUGCGCAAUGGGCUAAUAGCCUGACGCAGCGACACCGCGUGGGGGAUGAAGGCUUUAGGGUCGUAAACCCCUUUUCUCAGGGAAGAGUAAGGACGGUACCUGAGGAAUAAGCUUCGGCUAACUACGUGCCAGCAGCCGCGGUAAUACGUAGGAAGCGAGCGUUGUCCGGAUUUAUUGGGCGUAAAGAGCGCGUAGGCGGCUCGGCAAGUCUCGUGUGAAAUCUCCCGGCUCAACUGGGAGGCGCCAUGAGAAACUGUCGGACUUGAGGGCAGCAGAGGAAGACGGAAUUCCAGGAGUAGUGGUGAAAUGCGUAGAUACCUGGAGGAACCCCAGUGGCGAAGGCGGUCUUCUGGGCUGUUACCUGACGCUGAGGCGCGAGAGCGUGGGGAGCAAACCGG
rnacentral:rRNA from 1 species